GACGAACGCUGGCGGCGUGCUUAACACAUGCAAGUCGAACGGAAAGGCCCCUUUGGGGGUACUCGAGUGGCGAACGGGUGAGUAACACGUGAGUAACCUGCCCUUGACUUCGGGAUAACUUCAGGAAACUGGGGCUAAUACCGGAUAGGAAUCCUUGCUGCAUGGUGGGGGUUGGAAAGCUUCGGCGGUUUUGGAUGGACUCGCGGCUUAUCAGCUUGGUGGUGGGGUAGUGGCUUACCAAGGCUUUGACGGGUAGCCGGCCUGAGAGGGCGACCGGCCACAUUGGGACUGAGAUACGGCCCAGACUCCUACGGGAGGCAGCAGUGGGGAAUAUUGCACAAUGGGCGGAAGCCUGAUGCAGCAACGCCGCGUGCGGGAUGACGGCCUUCGGGUUGUAAACCGCUUUCAGCAGGGGCGAAGCUUGUGGUGACGGUACCUGCAGAAGAAGCACCGGCUAACUACGUG
rnacentral:rRNA from 1 species